UACGUAGGGUGCAAGCGUUAAUCGGAAUUACUGGGCGUAAAGCGUGCGCAGGCGGUGAUGUAAGACAGUUGUGAAAUCCCCGGGCUCAACCUGGGAACUGCAUCUGUGACUGCAUUGCUGGAGUGCGGCAGAGGGGGAUGGAAUUCCGCGUGUAGCAGUGAAAUGCGUAGGUAUGCGGAGGAACACCGAUGGCGAAGGCAAUCCCCUGGGCCUGCACUGACGCUCAUGCACGAAAGCGUGGGGAGCAAACAGG
rnacentral:rRNA from 1 species